ACCGGCGCACGGGUGCGUAACGCGUAUGCAAUCUACCUUGUACAGGGGGAUAGCCCAGAGAAAUUUGGAUUAAUACCCCAUAGUGUUUAGAAGUGGCAUCACUUUUUUACUAAAGUUCCAACGGUACAAGAUGAGCAUGCGUCCCAUUAGCUAGUUGGUAUGGUAACGGCAUACCAAGGCUAUGAUGGGUAGGGGUCCUGAGAGGGAGAUCCCCCACACUGGUACUGAGACACGGACCAGACUCCUACGGGAGGCAGCAGUGAGGAAUAUUGGUCAAUGGUCGCAAGACUGAACCAGCCAUGCCGCGUGCAGGAAGACGGUCCUAUGGAUUGUAAACUGCUUUUAUACAGGAAGAAACCCUCUCACGUGUGGGAGCUUGACGGUACUGUAUGAAUAAGCAUCGGCUAACUCCGUGCCAGCAGCCGCGGUAAUACGGAGGAUGCGAGCGUUAUCCGGAAUCAUUGGGUUUAAAGGGUCCGUAGGCGGUUUAAUAAGUCAGUGGUGAAAUCUGGUCGCUCAACGAUCAAACUGCCAUUGAUACUGUUAGACUUGAAUUAUUGUGAAGUAACUAGAAUAUGUAGUGUAGCGGUGAAAUGCUUAGAUAUUACAUGGAAUACCAAUUGCGAAGGCAGGUUACUAACAAUUUAUUGACGCUGAUGGACGAAAGCGUGGGGAGCGAACAGGAUUAGAUACCCUGGUA
rnacentral:rRNA from 1 species